rnacentral:lncRNA from 1 species
GUGUGACCCUGGUCAAGUUAGUCACUCUCUCUGAUACUAAAGUUGUAGAGCCAUCUUGCUGGCCCUGCACCCCAGGGUGUAGGAGAAGAUCUAGAUGUGCCCAGUGUACAGAAACUGGAACCUACCAUCUAAAUUUGACUGCCCCUCAGAUGUCUCUGGUUCUCAGCUUCCUGACCUGCAAAUGUGCAAGACUACACCAAUCUGCAGUCUCUUCUGGCUCUGAUUUCUGAAAAUCACGUAUUUUCAAAUCCUAGGAACAUUAUUCUUCUCUCUUAGCAUGCUAGAUUUCCUUUUAAAUGAAAGAAAUUUUAAUUUAAAAAAAAGUAACACAAAUAGCAUCAACAUGGAAAUAUAUUUGGGAAAGUAUCUGAUAUUCAAGAUUUCCAUGCAAUUAAAAAGAUAGGCCAUAGUGUCAGGCUCAGAUUCUAAUUCCAGCCAUUUCGGUGUCCCUAUUUUGCAUCCUCUGACCUCCAAGAGAUAUUCUGAAAAGUCUACCUUGAAUUUACUACUCAAAGACUUCAUCAAUCUAAGAAGACAUGCAUUAAUAAUGCCUUUUUGGAGAUGAAGAAAUUAAGUCAGAAAGUAGGGAUCCAGGGCCAAAAAACUAGUAAACGGAAAAAUCAGGAUUUUAACCCUGGAAAGCUUAACUCCAAAGUCUGUGCUUUCUGCCAUGUCUGACUGCUUCUCCAACUAAAAAACAUGUUUUAUUCUACUUUUUGUCACGUCCAAGUAUGGCGCAUGCUAAGCUUACUAUAGUUGCUUCAUGUUCCUAGUUUCUGAGAACAGAAGUUUGAAGGGAAUACAAGUGGUAAGCCAUUGGUGACUUCUCCACUUCAAUUAUGAGUUUAGACCCAAUUGUUUAUUCAUCAAAACAAACCUCAGAGCUGCCAACCACAGAUCUGGUCAUUGUGGGUUUUGUUUUGUUUUAUUUUUUAAUAAGGAGAGAAAGACCUAAUUUGGCAGAGGAGACCAAGAAGCCCGGGCUAUACAUUUGCAUAAAGAUGAUUACUAAAACUGAAGAAUUGCUUCUCAUAAAAAAAACUGAUGGAGUUAAAAAAAAAUCCAAAUGAAUUAAACCAGCAGUUCCUACCCUGUGAUUUGUAGAAAACUGUUUCUGAGAGAUGCUGGAAAGUAUUCUGGAGAAAACAAUUAAUCUGUUUACCAUUUGUAAAAUGGUAAAUUUGGAAAAUACUACAUUCUAACGAUAUCUUUUUCCUGGAGAUACUGAAUGCACGUCAGGCUAUCAAAGACUGGAAUGUUUUAAAGAAACAUGUUUAACUCUAUACUCCAACAAUUCCCAACAAAGAUAAAGUAAAUAAUUAAAUAACUAAUUACAAUCAGAAUACCUAGUUUUGUUUUUAUUUUUGCACACCUGCAGAACAAUGUUUUUUGGAACACCAAUAUAGAACACUAAAUUUUUUAAAAUGGGCCAGGCGUGAUGGCUCACGCCUAUAAUCUCAGCUCUCUGGGAGGCUGAGGUAGGUGGAUCACUUGAGGUCAGGAGUUCAAGACCAGCCUGGCCAACAUAGCGAAACCGCAUUUCUACUAAAAAUACAAAAAUUAGCCCGAUGUGGUGAUGGGCACUUGUAAUCCCAGCUAGUCGGGAGGCUGAGGCAGGAGAAGUGCUUGAACCUGGGGGGAGGAGGCUGAAGUGAGAUGAGGUAGAGCCACUGCUCUCAAGCCUGGGCGAUAGAGUGAGACUCUGUCUUAAAAUAAAUAAAUAAAUACAUAAAUAAUAAAUUAAUUUUAAAAAACUGAACAAAGUUAGGCCUCAAAAAAAUAUACUAUGUACAUCAGCUAAAGAGGUCUGACAAUUUUCUGAUGUCAACAACAGAUACUAUCAGCAAAAAGAUAAAUAAUUGUAAUCAAUUUUUAUAGAACAAACAAAACCAAGACAAAAGAACUAAGAGGGAAAAAUACAACAAAAAUCAUGCAUUAGACAUAUCGAAGUUGACAUCUCUAAUACAUACUUAGGAUGUAGAAUUCUUAUGUUGCUGCUAUAAAGACCCAGAAGAACAGAGGGACAAAAAACAUUAACACAAGAAACCGAAAAUAGCAAACAUAUGCAAGUAAUUUCAAUUGCACUGAUAAGUUUAAAAUUCCACAUGGAACAAUAAUAAAAUGCAUUUUUUAUCCUUCUAAAGCUGUAAGAAAUAGAAAAAAGAAAUUUGGUGAAUGGAGAGGCUUUGGAGAAAUGGCCACAAACCAUACAGAAGACAAAUUAUAUUUCAAGUCACAAAACCACCCUUACAUUUGACAUAGUAAAUCCAGUCCUGAUAAUUCCUUUCAAAACAACUGUUGCCAUUUCCUCAAUAAUAAAGGAUGUGUA